UACGGAGGAUGCGAGCGUUAUCCGGAUUUAUUGGGUUUAAAGGGUGCGUAGGCGGGCUUUUAAGUCAGCGGUAAAAAUUCGGGGCUCAACCCCGUCCGGCCGUUGAAACUGGGGGCCUUGAGUGGGCGAGAAGAAGGCGGAAUGCGUGGUGUAGCGGUGAAAUGCGCAGAUAUCGGGAAGAACACCGGUGGCGAAGGCGGCCUUCUGGGCCAUCACUGACGCUGAGGCGCGAAAGCUAGGGGAGCAAACAGG
rnacentral:rRNA from 1 species